UACGGAGGGUGCAAGCGUUGUUCGGAAUUACUGGGCGUAAAGAGCGUGUAGGCGGCCGAUCAAGUCCGGUGUGAAAGCCCGGGGCUUACCCCCGGAAGUGCGCUGGAAACUGAUUGGCUCGAGUAUGGGAGAGGGAAGUGGAAUUCCUGGUGUAGCGGUGAAAUGCGUAGAUAUCAGGUGGAACACCGGCGGCGAAGGCGGCUUCCUGGACCAAUACUGACGCUGAGACGCGAAAGCGUGGGGAGCAAACAGG
rnacentral:rRNA from 1 species